rnacentral:rRNA from 1 species
UACGUAGGGUGCAAGCGUUAAUCGGAAUUACUGGGCGUAAAGCGUGCGCAGGCGGUUUUGUAAGUCUGUCGUGAAAUCCCCGGGCUCAACCUGGGAAUUGCGAUGGAGACUGCAAGGCUAGAAUCUGGCAGAGGGGGGGUAGAAUUCCACGUGUAGCAGUGAAAUGCGUAGAGAUGUGGAGGAACACCGAUGGCGAAGGCAGCCCCCCUGGGUCAAGAUUGACGCUCAUGCACGAAAGCGUGGGGGAGCAAACAGGG